rnacentral:rRNA from 1 species
UACGUAGGUGGCAAGCGUUGUCCGGACUUACUGGGCGUAAAGGGCGCGUAGGCGGCUCAUACAGUCAGAUGUGAAAUUCCUGGGCUUAACCUGGGGGCUGCAUUUGAUACGUGUGGGCUUGAGUGGGGAAGAGGGUCGUGGAAUUCCCAGUGUAGAGGUGAAAUUCGUAGAUAUUGGGAAGAACACCGGUGGCGAAGGCGGCGACCUGGUCCUUGACUGACGCUGAGGCGCGAAAGCGUGGGGAGCAAACAGG